CCUGCAGGCGGUCUCGUAAGUGGGAUGUGAAAUCUCCUGGCUUAACUGGGAGGGGUCAUUCCAUACUGCGAGGCUCGAGGGCAGAAGAGGGAAGCGGAAUUCCCGGUGUAGUGGUGAAAUGCGUAGAUAUCGGGAGGAACACCAGUGGCGAAGGCGGCUUCCUGGCCUGCUCCUGACGCUAAGAGGCGAAAGCUAGGGGAGCGAACGGGAUUAGAAACCCCGGUAGUCCUAGCCAUAAACGAUGGAUACUGGGUGUCAGUGGUCCUAACCCCAUCGGUGCCGAAGCUAACGCGUUAAGUAUCCCGCCUGGGGACUACGGCCGCAAGGUUAA
rnacentral:rRNA from 1 species